rnacentral:rRNA from 1 species
UUACGCUGUUAUCCCUAAGGUAAUUUAGUCUUAUAAUCAACAUAAAUGGAUCAAAUACAUAUAAAUAAAUAUAAAAUAAAUAAAAAGAGUUAAUUAAAUCUUUCCAUCACCCCAACAAAAUAAAUUUUUACAUUAGAAAUUCUCAUACAAAAAAAAUAAAAAUAUAUAAAACUCUAUAGGGUCUUCUCGUCCCAAAAAAACAUUUAGGCAUUUUAACCUAAAAUUUAAGUUCAAAAAAAAAAUAAAGACAGUUAACACCUCGUCAAACCAUUCAUUCCAGCCUACAAUUAAAAGACUAAUGAUUAUGCUACCUUUGCACGGUCAAAAUACCGCGGCCCUUCAAUAUUCAGUGGGCAGGCCAUACAUCAAAAUAUAUUCAAGAAGAGAUGUUUUUGUUAAACAGGAG